AUGCACGCUGGCGGCGUGCCUAAUACAUGCAAGUCGCGCGAACGGACGAGAAGCUUGCUUUUCUGAUGUUAGCGGCGGACGGGUGAGUAACACGUGGAUAACCUACCUAUAAGACUGGGAUAACUUCGGGAAACCGGAGCUAAUACCGGAUAAUAUUUUGAACCGCAUGGUUCAAAAGUGAAAGACGGUCUUGCUGUCACUUAUAGAUGGAUCCGCGCUGCAUUAGCUAGUUGGUAAGGUAACGGCUUACCAAGGCAACGAUGCAUAGCCGACCUGAGAGGGUGAUCGGCCACACUGGAACUGAGACACGGUCCAGACUCCUACGGGAGGCAGCAGUAGGGAAUCUUCCGCAAUGGGCGAAAGCCUGACGGAGCAACGCCGCGUGAGUGAUGGAGGUCUUCGGAUCGUAAAACUCUGUUAUUAGGGAAGAACAUAUGUGUAAGUAACUGUGCACAUCUUGACGGUACCUAAUCAGAAAGCCACGGCUAACUACGUG
rnacentral:rRNA from 1 species